rnacentral:rRNA from 1 species
GACGAACGCUGGCGGCGUGCUUAACACAUGCAAGUCGAACGGAAAGGCCCUGCUUUUGUGGGGUGCUCGAGUUGCGAACGGGUGAGUAACACGUGAGUAACCUGCCCUUGACUUUGGGAUAACUUCAUGAAACUGGGUCUAAUACCGGAUAGGAGCUCCUGCUGCAUGGUGGGGGUUGGAAAGUUUCGGCGGUUGGUGGUGUACUCGCGGCUUAUCAGCUUGUUGGUGGGGUAGUGGCUUACCAAGGCUUUGACGGGUAGCCGGCCUGAGAGGGUGACCGGCCACAUUGGGACUGAGAUACGGCCCAGACCCCUACGGGAGGCAGCAGUGGGGAAUAUUGCAAAAUGGGCGGAAGCCUGAUGCAGCAACGCCGCGUGCGGGAUGACGGCAUUCGGGUUGUAAACCGAUUUCGCCUGUGCCGAAGCGUGAGUGACGGUAAUGGGUAAAGAAGCACCGGCUAACUCCGUG